GUUGCUGCAGAGCUGGGAUGUGCACCCAGGCCUCCGGCCUCUAACAUCCAUGAGCUUAACCGCUGCCCCAUCAUGCCUUGAGCGGAUUCUGGAAAGGCCAGAAGAAGCCUGGCCUGUUGGGAUGCUGUUUCAGGAAAGACCUACUGUGUUACUUUCCAAGCUGUGUUGGAAUCCUGAGCUUCCUUUGAAUGCUGUCAUAGGCCUCAAGGUGACCCAAUAUAUCUGGGUUACAUUUGCAAAACAUCUGACACAUUGUAGCAGCUUGACAAAUGCUCCCAGUUAUUCUGGAAGACAGACCUGAGAGCUGGAGAGAGGAGGGCUAGAUAUCUUCAAAGAGCAGGCAGAACACUUCCUGAGAUACCAGGCCACCCGGCUAGGUUAAAGGAGUGUUAUGCCCCAACCCCUCCCUCUCUCUAGAGCUGCACUGUCUAAUAUGGUAGCCACUAGCCACAUACAUUUAAAUUAAAUUUA